AGUGAACGCUGGCGGUAGGCCUAACACAUGCAAGUCGAACGGCAGCACAGUAAGAGCUUGCUCUUACGGGUGGCGAGUGGCGGACGGGUGAGGAAUACAUCGGAAUCUACUUUUUCGUGGGGGAUAACGUAGGGAAACUUACGCUAAUACCGCAUACGACCUACGGGUGAAAGCAGGGGAUCUUCGGACCUUGCGCGAUUGAAUGAGCCGAUUUCGGAUUAGCUAGUUGGCGGGGUAAAGGCCCACCACGGCGACGAUCCGUAGCUGGUCUGUGAGGAUGAUCAGCCACACUGGAACAGAGACACGAUCCAAACUCCUACGGGAGGCAGCAGUGGGGAAUAUUGGACAAUGGGCGGAAGUCUGAUCCAGCAAUACCGCGUGGGUGACGGAGGCCUUCGUGUUGUAAAGCCCUUUUGUUGGGAAAGAAGAGCAGCAGGUUAGUACCCAGCUGUUCUGGCGGUACACCAAGAAUAAGCACCGGCUAACUUCGUG
rnacentral:rRNA from 1 species